rnacentral:rRNA from 1 species
CACGUAGGGGACGAGCGUUGUCCGGAAUUACUGGGCGUAAAGAGCUCGUAGGUGGUUUGUCGCGUUGUUCGUGAAAACUCACAGCUCAACUGUGGGCGUGCGGGCGAUACGGGCAGACUGGAGUACUGCAGGGGAGACUGGAAUUCCUGGUGUAGCGGUGGAAUGCGCAGAUAUCAGGAGGAACACCGGUGGCGAAGGCGGGUCUCUGGGCAGUAACUGACGCUGAGGAGCGAAAGCGUGGGGAGCGAACAGG